UGACAUACAUAAUGUUAUAAUGAACCAUUAAUUGAUAGAGACAGUUGUCAAUCCUUUCAAUGUCGGUUUGCUGGUUCUUGGAUACCUCGGUGGGCUACUUUCUUCUCUCUCUGUCAUUUAUUGCUGCUAUUGUGUGGCUGAGAGUAAAAAAGCAAAAAAAGAAGAACCUCCCAAAAUUAACACUGAUACACAACAUGAAGAUGAGGAACAACUAAUUACAACAAGUACACACUGAGGUUACUAAAACAUUUAAAAAUAUUAAAUACUAAAAUUAUUAAAAAGCUGGAGGCUAGAACUGUGAAACAAUUAAGCAUAGGAAUGUGUUAUAUACCUCCAGUAAAUGUAAUACUUUGUGAGGUGCUUUGUAUAGUUAUAAUGUCUGAAGCAAAAAUCAAA
rnacentral:lncRNA from 1 species